GGCGCUGUGGCUUAGUUGGUCAAAGUGCCUGUCUAGUAAACAGGAGAUCCUGGGUUCAAAUCCCAGCAGUGCCU
rfam:Gasterosteus aculeatus cont1.014991, whole genome shotgun sequence.